CACAACCUAUGAUGCAAAAGUGUUAAAUGUACUGAUUUCAUAAGUGAUUAUUAUCAAACUUAUCACCAUCUUUCGGCUGAGGUUAAA